rnacentral:rRNA from 1 species
AAUGAACGCUGGCGGCGUGCUUAACACAUGCAAGUCGAGCGAGAAAGCUCCUUCGGGAGUGAGUACAGCGGCGGACGAGUGAGUAACGCGUAGGAAUUUACCCUUCAGUGAAGAAUACCAUCGAGAAAUCGGUGUUAAUACUGCAUACGUUCCUUCGGGAAGAAAGGUGGCCUCUAGCUGCCGCUGAUGGAUAAGCCUGCGUACUAUUAGCUAGUUGGUGAGGUAAUGGCUCACCAAGGCGAUGAUGGUUAACCGGCCUGAGAGGGUGUACGGUCACGUUGGAACUGAGACACGGUCCAA